CAGGCCUAACACAUGCAAGUCGAGCGGACCAUUCCUUCGGGGAUGGUUAGCGGCGGACGGGUGAGUAACACGUAGGCAACCUGCCUGUAAGAUCGGGAUAACUACCGGAAACGGUAGCUAAGACCGGAUAGCUGGUUUCUCCGCAUGGGGGAAUCAUGAAACACGGGGCAACCUGUGGCUUACGGAUGGGCCUGCGGCGCAUUAGCUAGUUGGUGGGGUAACGGCCCACCAAGGCGACGAUGCGUAGCCGACCUGAGAGGGUGAUCGGCCACACUGGGACUGAGACACGGCCCAGACUCCUACGGGAGGCAGCAGUAGGGAAUCUUCCGCAAUGGGCGCAAGCCUGACGGAGCAACGCCGCGUGAGUGAUGAAGGUUUUCGGAUCGUAAAGCUCUGUUGCCAAGGAAGAACGCCUCGGAGAGUAACUGCUCUGAGGGUGACGGUACUUGAGAAGAAAGCCCCGGCUAACUACGUGCCAGCAGCCGCGGUAAUACGUAGGGGGCAAGCGUUGUCCGGAAUUAUUGGGCGUAAAGCGCGCGCAGGCGGUCUUUUAAGUUUGGUGUUUAAGCCCGGGGCUCAACCCCGGUUCGCACUGAAAACUGGGAGACUUGAGUGCAGGAGAGGAAAGCGGAAUUCCACGCGUAGCGGUGAAAUGCGUAGAGAUGUGGAGGAACACCAGUGGCGAAGGCGGCUUUCUGGACUGUAACUGACGCUGAGGCGCGAAAGCGUGGGGAGCAAACAGGAUUAGAU
rnacentral:rRNA from 1 species